AGAGUUUGAUCCUGGCUCANGACGAACGCUGGCGGCACGCCUAACACAUGCAAGUCGAGCGUGAAGCUUCUUAUGGAUCCUUCGGGUGAUGUAAGAAGUGGAGAGCGGCGGACGGGUGAGUAACGCGUGGGAAACCUACCCUAUACAGGGGGAUAGCCUCGGGAAACCGGGAUUAAUACCCCAUAAAACCUUAGCACCGCAUGGUGCAUCGGUCAAAACUCCGGUGGUAUAGGAUGGUCCCGCGUCCCAUUAGCUAGUUGGUGAGGUAACAGCUCACCAAGGCGACGAUGGGUAGCCGGCCUGAGAGGGUGAUCGGCCACACUGGAACUGAGACACGGUCCAGACUCCUACGGGAGGCAGCAGUGGGGAAUAUUGCACAAUGGGCGAAAGCCUGAUGCAGCGAUGCCGCGUGAGCGAUGAAGUCCUUCGGGUCGUAAAGCUCUUGUCCUAUGGGAAGAAUUUUGACGGUACCAUAGGAGGAAGCCCCGGCUUACUACUGCCAACAGCCGCGGUAAUACCUAAGGGGCGAGCGUUGUCCGGAAUCACUGGGCGUAAAGAGUUCGUAAGCGGCUUCAAGUCAGAAUGUUAAAGGCAUUGGCUCACCAAUGUAAGCAUUUGAAACUGUUAGGCUUGAGUGCAGGAGAGGAGAGUGGAAUUCCUAGUGUAGCGGUGAAAUGCGUAGAUAUUAGGAGGAACACCAGUGGCGAAGCGACUCUCUGGACUGUUACUGACGCUGAGGAACGAAAGCGUGGGGAGCGAACAGGAUUAGAUACCCUGGUAGUCCACGCCGUAAACGAUGAGUGCUAGGUGUUGGGGUCGACAGGCUUCAGUGCCGCAGUUAACACAUUAAGCACUCCGCCUGGGGAGUACGAUCGCAAGAUUGAAACUCAAAGGAAUUGACGGGGACCCGCACAAGCAGCGGAGCAUGUGGUUUAAUUCGAAGCAACGCGAAGAACUUACAGAACUUGACAUCCCUCGGACGUUCUAGAGAUAGAACUUUCCUUCGGGGACUGAAGUGACAGGUGGUGCAUGGUUGUCGUCAGCUCGUGUCGUGAGAUGUUGGGUUAAGUCCCGCACGAGCGCAACCCUUACUUUUAUUGCCAUCAGGUCAUGUGGGCACUCUAGAGGGACUGCCGGUGACAAACCGGAGGAAGGUGGGGAUGACGUCAAAUCAUCAUGCCCUUAUGUUUGGGUACACACGUGCUACAAUGGCCGGUACAAUGGGCAGCCAAACCGCAAGGUGGAGCCAAUCCCAAUAAGCCGUCACAGUUCGGAUUGUGGGUGCAACUGGCCCACAUGAAGUUGGUAGUUGAUAGUAAUCGGAAUCAGAAUGUCGCGCUGAAUGCGUUCCCGGGUUUGUACACACCGCCCGUCACUCCCAUGAGAGUUGUUAAUACCCGAAGCAGUCGGGCUAACCUUUUGGAGGCAGACGUCGAAGGUGGGAUCAAUGACUGGGUGAAGUCGUAACAAGGUAACC
rnacentral:rRNA from 1 species